UGCCGUGCUAAGUGGCGAAGGAUGUGGCGUUUCAUAAACAACCAGGAUGUUGGCUUAGAAGCAGCCAUCAUUUAAAGAGUGCGUAAUAGCUCACUGGUCGAGAGACGCUGCGCCGAAGAUGUCCGGGGCUCAAGCACGGAACCGAAGCUAUGGCAGACGCAAGCCGUCUGGGUAGGGGAGCGUUCUUAUUGGGGAGAAGCGAUACCGGAAGGAGUCGUGGACUGAUAAGAAGUGAGAAUGCUGGUAUGAGUAUCGAAAAGAAAGGUGAGAAUCCUUUCCACCGAAAGCCCGAGGGUUCCUGAGCAACGAUCGUCGUCUCAGGGUAAGUCGGGACCUAAGCCGAGGCAAGAAGCAUAGGCGAUGGACAACAGGUUGAAAUUCCUGUACCGGAAGAGUCUGAUUGAGUGAAGGAGUGACGCAGAAGGGCACACAAGCAUGCGAGUGGAAGAGCAUGUCUAAGUGCGUAGCCUGUAUGAUAGGAAAAACCGUCAUACGAGAAGGGUGAGACAUGAAGGGGAGUUAAAGGAGACUUUAAUGAACUUGUGAAUCCCAUGCUGCCAAGAAAAGCUUCUAGCGAGGACUCGUCCGCCCGUACCGUAAACCGACACAGGUAGGCGGGGAGAGAAUCCUAAGGUGCGCGGGAAAACCCUCGUUAAGGAACUCGGCAAAUUGCAUCCGUAACUUCGGAAGAAGGAUGGCCCUUGGUAGGCGAAGAGUCAAGCACUUGGAACCGAGAAGGGUGGCAGAAAAGAGGCCCAAGCAACUGUUUACCAAAAACACAGGUGCCUGCGAAAGCGAAAGCUGAAGUAUAGGUGCUGACGCCUGCCCGGUGCCGGAAGGUUAAGGAGAGAAGUUAGCGAAAGCGAAGCAUCGAACUGAAGCCCCGGUGAACGGCGGCCGUAACUAUAACGGUCCUAAGGUAGCGAAAUUCCUUGUCGGGUAAGUUCCGACCCGCAUGAAAGGCGUAAUGAUUUGGGCACUGUCUCAACGAGGGGCCCGGUGAAAUUGAAAUACCUGUGAAGAUGCAGGUUACCCGCGACUGGACAGAAAGACCCCAUGGAGCUUCACUGCAGCUUGAGAUUGAAUCCCGGUGACAGAUGCACAGGAUAGGUGGGAGGCGCCGAAGCAUUGCCCUAGGGCGGUGCGGAGCCGAUGUUGGGAUACCACCCUUCUGUUGCUGAGAUUCUAACGCGAGGAGUAACGACCCUGCGGACCCUCUCAGGCAGGCGGUUUGACUGGGGCGGUCGCCUCCGAAAGAGUAACGGAGGCGCCCAAAGGUUCCCUCAGGUCGGACAGAAACCGACCGACGAGUGCAAAGGCAGAAGGGAGCUUGACUGCGAGACCAACAAGUCGAGCAGAGACGAAAGUCGGGCUUAGUGAUCCGGUGGUACUGUGUGGAAAGGCCAUCGCUCAACGGAUAAAAGCUACCCUGGGGAUAACAGGCUAAUCUCUCCCAAGAGUCCAUAUCGACGGGGAGGUUUGGCACCUCGAUGUCGGCUCAUCACAUCCUGGGGCUGGAGUAGGUCCCAAGGGUUGGGCUGUUCGCCCAUUAAAGUGGUACGCGAGCUGGGUUCAAAACGUCGUGAGACAGUUUGGUUCAUAUCCAUCGCGGGCGUAAGAAGUUUGAGGGGGGCUGCUCCUAGUACGAGAGGACCGGAGUGGACGAAUCAAUGGUGUACCAGUUGUCACGCCAGUGGCAUGGCUGGAAAGCCACAUUCGGAAGGGAUAAACGCUGAAAGCAUCUAAGCGUGAAGCCCACCCCAAGAUGAGACUUCUCAUCAGAAAUGAGUAAGAUCCCUUAUAGACUAUGAGGUAGAUAGGUCGCAAGUGGAAGAGCAGUGAUGUUUGGAGCGAUGCGGUACUAAUAGAUCGAGGUCUUAACUUA
rnacentral:rRNA from 1 species